AGUGAACGCUGGCGGUAGGCCUAACACAUGCAAGUCGAACGGCAGCACAGUAAGAGCUUGCUCUUACGGGUGGCGGGUGGCGGACGGGUGAGGAAUACAUCGGAAUCUACUUUUUAGUGGGGGAUAACGUAGGGAAACUUACGCUAAUACCGCAUACGACCUACGGGUGAAAGCAGGGGAUCUUCGGACCUUGCGCGAUUGAAUGAGCCGAUGUCGGAUUAGCUAGUUGGCGGGGUAAAGGCCCACCAAGGCGACGAUCCGUAGCUGGUCUGAGAGGAUGAUCAGCCACACUGGAACUGAGACACGGUCCAGACUCCUACGGGAGGCAGCAGUGGGGAAUAUUGGACAAUGGGCGCAAGCCUGAUCCAGCCAUACCGCGUGGGUGAAGAAGGCCUUCGGGUUGUAAAGCCCUUUUGUUGGGAAAGAAAAGCAGCAGGUUAAUACCCCGCUGUUCUGACGGUACCCAAAGAAUAAGCACCGGCUAACUUCGU
rnacentral:rRNA from 1 species